rnacentral:rRNA from 1 species
AUGGAGGAGGUGGCGUCUGGGUUGAGGAUCAAGCAGGCGGCUGCACUGCUAGCUUGCUGGGUGGCUGGGGUCCUCGCCGUAGGCAAGGGUUGGGGCGGCGUCGCCGGUCGACUGGAGCAGAGGGGUUGGGAUCGCCGGCGACAAGGGCGGCUGCGAAGCUCGGCCGGGCUAUUGGUCGGAGCCUUGGCUGUGGAGGCGCGAGGGAAAGAUGGGGAGGGGCGCGAGGGAGGUAGAGCAGGGGGAGGGGCGGGGACGGGAGCGAGCAACAGAGGCGGUGCCGGCCGCCGAGCAUCAACGACGACGAGUAGCAGCGGCGCCAGAGUGAGCAGCAGAAGUGGCGCAGGCGACCAGGCGCGAGCGAGCAGCGGCGCGGGCGCGAGAGAGCAGCAGCGGUGGCGCAGGCGGGAGAGAGCAGUGGCGGCGGCACCGGAGUGA